UGCUGAAACGGUUAGGUGGAUGCUCAACUUGGUCAGGAUAGACAGACAGCCAAGCAUCAUUGACCAAACCAUAAGAGGUAAUGAUUUCGUGAGGAACACUAAGGGGUUGAAUGUUGAAGUCACCAGCAGCGAUUACGAUAUGACCACGUUGAACAGCAGCACGGAGCAAUUUCGAGAUAUACCAGGCUUGUGACAGACGGUGGCACAAGUAGGUAUCAGCACCCUUACCGUAUGGAGCAUGCAAAUGAGUAUUGAACAAAGAGAUGAUCCUUCCAGAGGGAUGUUGUAAACUAGCUGUAGCGACACCCUUUCCAACAUACCAAUCACCUCUCCAAAAAGCUUGAGGACGACCAUUAAGUGGAUACUUGUUCAUAGAAGAUUCAAUGAUAGGAAACUUCGAAAACAUGGCAAGUCCAGCACCCAUAGCAGCACUAUGGAAAAACCUAGAAUAGACAAGAUUGCAGCUCACCAAGUUACGAAUUUCCUGAAAAUCGUAAAUCGACCAUACUUCUUGAAGAAGAACAAUGUCAUAAUCGCACUUCGCAAGUUUUUCGCCAACAGCUUUCAAACGUUCAGUACGGUACUUGGAAACAAAGCGCAAUCCCCAACAAUUAAACGAGAGAACACGCAGUUCAGGGGCCUUUUCAACACUCAUUGUUGCGAGGUUGGAAUUAAAAAGAGAUAAAGAAGGACGGAGUUAUUGCCGUCAAAUGGAACAGUAAAACGAAUAGUUUAUAAUUUGUAUGUAAAGAAAUAAUCUAACAAAGUUUAUUAGCUUAAGAAGAAAGAGAAUUUAAGAAAAAAAUGGAUAAAGAGACGAAAUUGCUGAAUUAGUAUAAAAACAAACAAAAAGCACCAUCGUGGUCUUAAACCAAGCCAAUGUCAUUAACAGCAUGAAUUAUAAAGACUCUGUCUCUUUUCUUCCACGAAAGCAGAAGACCAGCAAUUUUC